AUGAAGACCCUGUGGGGGAAGAGUGCAGAAGCCACCGUCCCAUACCUGCCAUCUAAUGUGAUGCUGUUAAUGAAGAGGAAUAGACAGAGGAGGAGAAACAUCUAUGCUCACGUUUAUAUUGAACAUAAGAAUCUCAGAAUCUCUGCACUAGAUUUGAAUAGCUCAUCUGACCCACCAAGUUGUCAUAAGUUUGCUCCUGACAGUGACUAAAGUCAUUCUGCUUUGUAAUACUCUAGAGCUGUUAAUGACCCAAAGUCAUUGUUUUGGACUAUGUAUUCCUACCCUUUAAUGGUUUUGUUUAUUCUUGUUGGUUUUAAUUAAAUAAAGAAAAAUUUAUCCC
rnacentral:lncRNA from 1 species